GGCGCGAUAGCUCAGUUGGUAGAGCAGUGGUCUCGUAAUCCGGUGACCCGGGUUCGAAACCAAGUCGAUGCCG
rfam:Strongylocentrotus purpuratus Contig10009_fixed, whole genome shotgun sequence.